GGAAACUGUGAAAUCACCUUUACUUUAGCUGCAGGUAGUGUUAUUUGUAAUAAUACCUGCCAGGUCUAUGCUGUUUGAAUGUAAUGUUUUGCAUUAACUAUUUCUAAAAUAUCAGACAAUAGCUAUGAAAAUGGAAAGUAUUCCCCAGAUGUAACGGUCUGAAAAAAUCCUAUGUCAGUUAGCAUGACCAUUUCUUUCUGAAUCUGAAUUUUCUUUGAGUUACCAGAAGUCUCAGUUACCCGUACAGGAGGAAAGUUUAGAUUCAUUUACAGUGAAUCCCUCAAACAGGAGUGAGUCCUAAUCAACCAUAAAAACUGGAGGCUGGAUUUCUUGCUGUGAAAAGGCUUUAAAGCAAGUAUUGAAAGGAGGUGCACUUUUUUCCUACAGCUGGUCAUAGACUGUUUCAUUUGGAAGGAUUUUACAAAGUAUUCUACUAUUAGUUGGUCACUUAGUACCUGAAGGAUAUCUUAG
ensembl:lncRNA